GAAUUCAAAGUGAAUUUCAAAUUUAAGAUCAAAUUAGCCGAACUGGAAGCAAAGAUGAUUUGGAGAUUUUUUCCAAUUUGGCUAUUUUAGCCUUCAAUAUGAAAUUCACAAUUCUCAUUUUAGUGAACAACCUUGUAAGUAUCUCACAAUGCAAUUGGAAUGGUGUCAAGAUAGUCUAAGAAGUGCAGAGAAGAUUCCAGAAUCCAAGCAUGUUUGUCAAGUCAGAGGUGAAUGUAGAGUAUUCAGGUGUAAAGAUAAGCAUUUCAGGUAUGUAGUUAGAUAACC